GCUCUGGUGGCCCAGUGGUAACUCUCCCAUCUGCAGUGUGGGUGACCCGGGUUCAAAUCCUGUCAUGGACG